CCCCUCUCAAGGGUUGCACCUGGAGAGUUUCCAGUCCUCUAUCAGUCUCAGCUACGGGAGGGAGAGUCAAGCAGAGGCCUACCCAUUCCAUUCCUAGCUUGGGAAGUGGCUAGCGAGUGGAAGGCAAUAUGCUACAAGU
rfam:Ornithorhynchus anatinus chromosome 3, whole genome shotgun sequence.